rnacentral:rRNA from 1 species
UACGUAGGGUGCGAGCGUUGUCCGGAAUUACUGGGCGUAAAGAGCUCGUAGGUGGUUUGUCGCGUUGUCCGUGAAAACUCACAACUCAAUUGUGGGCGUGCGGGCGAUACGGGCAGACUGGAGUACUGCAGGGGAGACUGGAAUUCCUGGUGUAGCGGUGGAAUGCGCAGAUAUCAGGAGGAACACCGGUGGCGAAGGCGAGUCCCUGGACAACACCUGACACUGAGGCACGAAAGCUAGGGGAGCAAACAGG